ACGUGAUGUCAGAAACAAGAGAUUAUGUCUCCAGAUGGGGAGCAGACCGGAUCAUGUGAAAACCACAGAAACAAAGGCUCAUGCCACAUCAACUUUCAAGGCUUGGCACUGAACAGCCCAAGGGCCUCCUCCUCUCGUGAGCACUACCUGGAAUGGGGUGUAAGAAAACACCAACUGCAGCAACUGAUUUUAAAUGGGUCAAGAGCGAUGAAGAAGCCAAGAGCAUCUGCUGGGGAAAUUAUACAAUAAAAACAAGAUGUUUAGGAGGGAUUCUACAGUCCAAAGGAGACUCAGCAUCUUCCAACCAUCACUUCAUCUGCAGAGCUGACCUUGACAAGUUCAGAGAAAAAUUUAUAUCCUGAUGUUUCCUUUGUUGGGCUGUAUCAAUUCUCGUUGCUGUUUCUAAACACUUUAUUUUCCCUAAGAAUAUAAGGGAAAUAAGGAAAUAAGCCUCUGAGAUGCUGGAAACAGAAGGCUAUGCAAUGUUUUAAAAUGUGUGCGUUUUGGGUAGUCUCUUACCUGAAGCAAA